rnacentral:rRNA from 1 species
GAUGAACGCUGGCGGUAUGCUUUACACAUGCAAGUCGUACGAGAGUUUUUAACUCUAGUGGCGGACGGGUGAGUAACACGUAAGAAUUUGCCUUUAGGAGGGGGAUAACAACUGGAAACGGUUGCUAAUACCCCAUAUGCUUUCGAGUGAAAUGGAUUUCCGCCUAAAGAGAAGCUUGCGGCUGAUUAGCUUGUUGGUGAGGUAAUGGCUCACCAAGGCGACGAUCAGUAUCUGGUUUGAGAGGACGAUCAGACACACUGGAACUGAGACACGGUCCAGACUCCUACGGGAGGCAGCAGUGGGGAAUUUUCCGCAAUGGGCGAAAGCCUGACGGAGCAAUACCGCGUGAGGGAUGAAGGCCUAUGGGUUGUAAACCUCUUUUUUCAGGGAGGAACAAAAUGACGUGUACCUGAAGAAUAAGCAUCGGCUAACUCCGUGCCAGCAGCCGCGGUAAGACGGGGGAUGCAAGUGUUAUCCGGAAUCACUGGGCGUAAAGCGUCUGUAGGUGGUUAAGUAAGUCAACUGUUAAAUCUUGAGGCUUAACCUCAAAAUCGCAGUCGAAACUGCUUGACUAGAGUAUAGUAGGGGUAAAGGGAAUUUCCAGUGGAGCGGUGAAAUGCGUAGAUAUUGGAAAGAACACCGAUGGCGAAGGCACUUUACUGGGC